rnacentral:rRNA from 1 species
UUGAAGAGUUUGAUCAUGGCUCAGAUUGAACGCUGGCGGCAGGCCUAACACAUGCAAGUCGAGCGGUAGCACAGAGAGCUUGCUCUCGGGUGACGAGCGGCGGACGGGUGAGUAAUGUCUGGGAAACUGCCUGAUGGAGGGGGAUAACUACUGGAAACGGUAGCUAAUACCGCAUAACGUCGCAAGACCAAAGUGGGGGACCUUCGGGCCUCAUGCCAUCAGAUGUGCCCAGAUGGGAUUAGCUAGUAGGUGGGGUAACGGCUCACCUAGGCGACGAUCCCUAGCUGGUCUGAGAGGAUGACCAGCCACACUGGAACUGAGACACGGUCCAGACUCCUACGGGAGGCAGCAGUGGGGAAUAUUGCACAAUGGGCGCAAGCCUGAUGCAGCCAUGCCGCGUGUGUGAAGAAGGCCUUCGGGUUGUAAAGCACUUUCAGCGGGGAGGAAGGCGUUAAGGUUAAUAACCUUGGCGAUUGACGUUACCCGCAGAAGAAGCACCGGCUAACUCCGUGCCAGCAGCCGCGGUAAUACGGAGGGUGCAAGCGUUAAUCGGAAUUACUGGGCGUAAAGCGCACGCAGGCGGUCUGUCAAGUCGGAUGUGAAAUCCCCGGGCUCAACCUGGGAACUGCAUUCGAAACUGGCAGGCUAGAGUCUUGUAGAGGGGGGUAGAAUUCCAGGUGUAGCGGUGAAAUGCGUAGAGAUCUGGAGGAAUACCGGUGGCGAAGGCGGCCCCCUGGACAAAGACUGACGCUCAGGUGCGAAAGCGUGGGGAGCAAACAGGAUUAGAUACCCUGGUAGUCCACGCCGUAAACGAUGUCGAUUUGGAGGUUGUGCCCUUGAGGCGUGGCUUCCGGAGCUAACGCGUUAAAUCGACCGCCUGGGGAGUACGGCCGCAAGGUUAAAACUCAAAUGAAUUGACGGGGGCCCGCACAAGCGGUGGAGCAUGUGGUUUAAUUCGAUGCAACGCGAAGAACCUUACCUGGUCUUGACAUCCACAGAACUUAGCAGAGAUGCUUUGGUGCCUUCGGGAACUGUGAGACAGGUGCUGCAUGGCUGUCGUCAGCUCGUGUUGUGAAAUGUUGGGUUAAGUCCCGCAACGAGCGCAACCCUUAUCCUUUGUUGCCAGCGGUUCGGCCGGGAACUCAAAGGAGACUGCCAGUGAUAAACUGGAGGAAGGUGGGGAUGACGUCAAGUCAUCAUGGCCCUUACGACCAGGGCUACACACGUGCUACAAUGGCAUAUACAAAGAGAAGCGACCUCGCGAGAGCAAGCGGACCUCAUAAAGUAUGUCGUAGUCCGGAUUGGAGUCUGCAACUCGACUCCAUGAAGUCGGAAUCGCUAGUAAUCGUAGAUCAGAAUGCUACGGUGAAUACGUUCCCGGGCCUUGUACACACCGCCCGUCACACCAUGGGAGUGGGUUGCAAAAGAAGUAGGUAGCUUAACCUUCGGGAGGGCGCUUACCACUUUGUGAUUCAUGACUGGGGUGAAGUCGUAACAAGGUAACCGUAGGGGAACCUGCGGUUGGAUCACCUCCUU